rnacentral:rRNA from 1 species
GAUGAACGCUAGCGAUAGGCUUAACACAUGCAAGUCGAGGGGCAGCGGGGAGUAGCAAUACUCUGCCGGCGACCGGCGCACGGGUGCGUAACGCGUAUGCAACCUACCCUGUACAAGGGGAUAGCCCAUGGAAACGUGGAUUAAUACCCUAUAUGGCUGUCAUUUCGCAUGGAAUGACAGUUAAAAUUCCGAUGGUAUAGGCUGGGCAUGCGUCCCAUUAGGUAGUAGGUGAGGUAAUGGCUCACCUAGCCUGUGAUGGGUAGGGGUUCUGAGAGGAAGGUCCCCCACACUGGUACUGAGACACGGACCAGACUCCUACGGGAGGCAGCAGUGAGGAAUAUUGGUCAAUGGCCGCAAGGCUGAACCAGCCAAGUCGCGUGAAGGAAGACUGCCCUAUGGGUUGUAAACUUCUUUUGCUUGGGAAGAAUAAGGAUUACGUGUAAUCCGAUGCCUGUACCGAGCGAAUAAGGAUCGGCUAACUCCGUGCCAGCAGCCGCGGUAAUACGGAGGAUCCGAGCGUUAUCCGGAUUUAUUGGGUUUAAAGGGUGCGCAGACGGUUUGCUAAGUUAGUGGUUAAAUUUACGGGCUUCACCCGUACACGCCAUUAAAACUGGUGAACUAGAGUGUAAAUGAGGUAGGCGGAAUAAGUUAAGUAGCGGUGAAAUGCUUAGAUAUAACUUAGAACUCCGAUAGCGUAGGCAGCUUACCAAGCUACAACUGACGUUCAGGCACGAAAGCAUGGGUAGCGAACAGGAUUAGAUACCCUGGUAGUCCAUGCCGUAAACGAUGCUUACUGGCUUUCGGCGAUAUGACAGUCGGAGGCUUGGAGAAAUUCUUAAGUAAGCCACCUGGGGAGUACGUCGGCAACGAUGAAACUCAAAGGAAUUGACGGGGGCCCGCACAAGCGGAGGAACAUGUGGUUUAAUUCGAUGAUACGCGAGGAACCUUACCCGGGUUUAAAUGUAGAUUGCAUGAGGGGGAAACUUCUCUUCUCUUAACGGAGCUAUUUACAAGGUGCUGCAUGGUUGUCGUCAGCUCGUGCCGUGAGGUGUCGGGUUAAGUCCCAUAACGAGCGCAACCCUUAUCUUUAGUUGCCAUCAGGUAAUGCUGGGGACUCUAAAGAGACUGCCGCCGUAAGGUGAGAGGAAGGUGGGGAUGACGUCAAAUCAGCACGGCCCUUACAUCCGGGGCUACACACGUGUUACAAUGGCCGGUACAGAGGGUCGCCACAUAGCAAUAUGGAGCUAAUCUCUAAAACCGGUCCCAGUUCGGAUUGGAGUCUGUAACCCGACUCCAUGAAGUUGGAUUCGCUAGUAAUCGCGCAUCAGCCACGACGCGGUGAAUACGUUCCCGGGCCUUGUACACACCGCCCGUCAAGCCAUGGGAGCUGGGAGUACCUGAAGUGCGUAACCGCAAGGAGCGUCCUAAGGUAAUACCGGUGACUGGGGC